rnacentral:lncRNA from 1 species
UUGUCUUGAAGUAGCAGUGAAGAGCCAGAACUGUAUCUACUCAAUCUCUAAGUCCAGUGCCACAUGAGAUAAUAUCUUAUAAGAAACAAUUCAGCCUUAAGCAAUUUUUCCCUCUUCUUUAUGGAAGUUCAAAAUUAGUAUGGGAGAGUCUAAGCUAAUAAGGUUGCAAUGUACAUGUUGUACAUCAAACAAGCAGAGACAACGUGCAAUACAAAAAUUACCUGGCUGCCUAAUAUAGAGCUCCCGGCUAAUAUAUGGGACACGGCAAGCAACUGAUCCAUGCCUGUUGAUUUGAUUUUUGAUUUGACAGGGAUGAGAUUUUCGAUCAUCUGAUGUGACAGUGGCUGCACGGAAGCAUGGAAGAUUGAAGAUGCACACAAAGUAGAAGAGUGAAGACUGAACUUUGCAGAAUGCCUCCAAGCCAUAUACAGAAAUUACUGAACCCAGGACAAGAAAAUAUGUCUAGAAUCUAGGAGGAUAUUCCUUGGAGAGUCAAGUGGCUGACCCCCUCAGUUUAGAAGAGCAUUGUACUUGGCUAAUAGUAUUUAUUCAUGUGUAACACAGAUUGCCAGUAAUGGCACAGAUACCAUCAUGACUGGCUAGUAGAAAGUCUAAAGCUACCAGAUUUUCUAUUUCACGUGAGUCAAAUAGUUGAGACUCAUCAUUCAGCUUUGAGAGCUGUGAAAGUGUUCUUUAAAACUUCGGACAAGGUUAACAAUAAAUUUCUGGUCACCUAUUCCAAUUAUAUAACCCUCAUUGUAGAAACCAUUACCCAGAUGUUGUGCAUAAAAAGUGAAUCAAUAUUUCCUCUGGGUAACUGUCCUGAAUAGCCUAUCAUGGCUUCAUCUUACAUGUUCCUAGGGACAUGCCUCAAUGACACAAUGUCCAAAAAGGGACCCAGGAUCUUGGAUUUCUGAAGUCUCUGACAAUUACCCUGCAGGCACAAGGUAAGUUAAAGUGAGGGAAACAGGUGAAGGCUUGACUUCCCUUGUAAAAAUAACACACCACUGCAGUGUAGGUGCCAUUUAAGAGUAGUGUGCCAAUUAUCUCUUCCUUGAGAAAAGCAAAUGGCCUGGGUGUAGCCAAAUAACUCCUAAAGCUCUUGUGCUGAACCCCUAUUAACCUCAAUAGGGAAGUUACCAGGUUCAAGAGGACAAAGAAGAGAUUUGGAGCCAGCAAAUGAGACAUGUGGUUUUAUAAGGGGCUUACACAGAGGCGAGGGAGUCCAGUGGCAGUAGGCUACAUAGAAAAAUCACCUUAUAUACAGUCCAGUGGUGCAGGCUGGACAAGAUAACAGCCAGUCCAGUGAGCACGCCAGUGAACAGUCCAGUGACAGUGGCCACCUUACAUAGUCCAGUAGCAACAGGCUGGACAGGAUAUCUGCCUUACCGAUAGUCCAGUGGCAGUGGGCUGGGCAAAAUAACCACCUCACCUACAGUCCAGUGGUGGCAGACUGGACAAGAUAUCUAUCUUACACACACACCAGUGGUGGUGGGCUGGAUGAGCUAACCACCUUACUUAUAGUCCAGUGGCAGCAGACUACAGUCCAGUGGUGGCAGGCUGUAGUGAAGGGCUGGACAAGAUAUCCAUCUUACAUGUAGUCCGUUGGUGGUGAACUGGGCAAGAUAAUUGCAUGGCCCAGUGGUGGUGGGCUGGUCAGGAAAGCCACAAUGGCUUACAAACAGCAUUUUCAUUUAUCACCCUCUACUUAUGAACCUCUUCAUCAUAGCCAUCUUUUAACCCAAACUCAGGGCCUCA